AGCUAGUGUGGUGUAGUGGUUUGUGCAAUCGACUACAACUUGGGAGACUAGGAUUCGAAUCUCUGCUCAGCUA